rnacentral:rRNA from 1 species
CCUACGGGAGGCUGCAGUGGGGAAUCUUCCUCAAUGGCCGAAAGGCUGAAGGAGCGACGCCGCGUGUAUGAUGAAGCCCUCCGGGGCGUAAAAUACUUUUAACAGGGACGAAAUACUGACGGUACCUGUUGAAUAAGGGGCUGCUAACCUCGUGCCAGCAGCAGCGGUAAUACGAGGGCCCCAAGCAUUAUCCGGAUUUAUUGGGCGUAAAGAGUGUGUAGGCGGUUUAUAACAUCUCCUGUUAAAUCUCAAGGCUCAACCUUGAGGCCGCGGGAGAUAUGGAUAAACUAGAGUUCGGAAGAGGCAAGUGGAAUUGCUGGUGUAGGGGUUAAAUCCGUUAAUAUCAGCAGGAACACCAAAAGCGAAGGCAGCUUGCUGGGACGACACUGACGCUGAGACACGAAAGCGUGGGGAGCGAAUGGGCUUAGAUACCCUGGUAGUC